rnacentral:rRNA from 1 species
AUGCAUAACAAACCCAUCGCGACCGGAGGGCGAAACAAACUAGCCAGCAGCAUACGGGAGAGAACUACUCAACCAACCCUAACAAAGAAACAGCAAGAGAUCCGCCGGUCGACGACGCGUCGCCAUCAUCGUCAGGCGCGGAAGCAGCCGACGAAGCGCGGCAGAUGUAUGUGGCCGUGGCCGUGGGCGGUGGCGGCGCCGCAGUCGAGGUCGACGAGCUGGUGGCCGUGCGCGCCGAGGUCGCGGUCGAUGAGGCGCUCGACGUGGACGAAGCGGUCGACCCGGCAGGGGAUGGCGAUGGCGCCCUGGUGCCUGAAGCCGUACUCGCGCUCGGCCUCGUCGAGCAGCGCCCCGAAGAGCGGGUGCUUGAGGUGGUCGAGCGGCACGGCGAAGCGGCGCUGCUCCUCCCCCUCCGCCCCCACGCGCACCGUCACGCACCCCUUGGGCGCCACCAUAUCCGCCCUCUGGUGGUGCUGCUGCUGCUGCCUGAGGUGCAUCGGAGGCGAGGACCGGACGAGUCUUGUGGCUGUUGCGAGGAAGGAGGAGAGGGGGGAGGGAGAUCGGACGGCGGAGCUCGAGAGGGGGAUGGAGGGGUUUGGGGUUAGGAAGAGAAGGGCCAGGGGUCGGAGCUGGAGAUGGCGAGGCGGAAGACGGUGA